rnacentral:rRNA from 1 species
ACGCCGGGGUGAAUACGUUCCCGGGCCUUGUACACACCGCCCGUCACACCACGAAAGUCGGCAACACCCAAAGCCGGUGGCCUAACCGCAAGGAAGGAGCCGUCUAAGGUGGGGUCGGUGAUUGGGGUGAAGUCGUAACAAGGUAGCCGUACCGGAAGGUGCGGCUGGAUCACCUCCUUUCUAAGGAG